rnacentral:rRNA from 1 species
GCCUACCUCAAGAUAAGAUUUCCCUAGGAAUUUAUUCCUCUAAAGAGCCGUUCGAGACUAGGACGUUGAUAGGUUGGAUGUGGAAGCAUAGUGAUAUGUGAAGCUGACCAAUACUAAUUGCUCGUGAGGCUUGACUAUACAACACCCAAGCAGUUG